UACGGGGGGAGCAAGCGUUGUUCGGAUUUACUGGGCGUAAAGGGCGCGUAGGCGGCCACCGCAAGUCAAUUGUGAAAUCUCCGGGCUUAACUCGGAAAGGUCAACUGAUACUGCGGGGCUAGAGUGCAGAAGGGGCAACUGGAAUUCUCGGUGUAGCGGUGAAAUGCGUAGAUAUCGAGAGGAACACCUGCGGCGAAGGCGGGUUGCUGGGCUGACACUGACGCUGAGGCGCGAAAGCUAGGGGAGCAAACGGG
rnacentral:rRNA from 1 species